GAGGAGACCAGAGGUAUCAGAUCCACCGAAGCUCGGAUAAGGCUUUAGAUAGGACCAAGCUAGGUUCUGCCAAAGCAAUACACACUUAACUGCUGAGCCACCUCCUGCUCCCAGUGUCUCCUGUUGUAAAAAUGCACAUUCCAUCAAACAUCUGAAAGAAGUAGAGAAAGUCUUUAUAUUAAAUGUUAAGCAUUCUAUAUGAAGAGACAACAAGUUUACAUUUGUAACAUGUGGAAAGCACAUUUUAGAGCUAUAUUAUACCAAGCUGUAAGAUGAUACAUUUUAAGGCUGAAGGACACAAACAAUGGAGAGGAAUAGAAGCGGCAGACACAGCACAUACGUCCUACUCUGCAAUGCGCUCCUUUUCUGCAGAUGCUUAGUUCUUAAUCCAAUAGGUUGUCCUGAAGAGAAGAGAAAAAAAUACAGACAUACAGAGGGCUUGCCACACAAAGACAUACAUCUACAAACUGAAAAGGCACCAGUAACCAAACAUUG